rnacentral:piRNA from 1 species
UGGCAAACUAGACUCAGAGGUACAACCUCA